GAAUCUUCCACAAUGGACGAAAGUCUGAUGGAGCAAUGCCGCGUGAGUGAAGAAGGGUUUCGGAGCGUAAAACUCUGUUGUGAGGGAAGAACAAGUACGAGAGUAACUGCUCGUACCUUGAAGGUACCACCUAAGACAGCCAAGGCUAACUACUGGCCAGCAGCCGCGGUAAUACGGAGGUGGCAAGCGUUGUCCGGAAUUAUUGGGCGUAAAGCGCGCGCAGGCGGUCCUUUAAGUCUGAUGUGAAAGCCCACGGCUCAACCGUGGAAGGUCAUUGGAAACUGGGGGACUUGAGUACAGAAGAGGAAAGCGGAAUUCCAAGUGUAGCGGUGAAAUGCGUAGAGAUUUGGAGGAACACCAGUGGCGAAGGCGGCUUUCUGGUCUGUAACUGACGCUGAGGCGCGAAAGCGUGGGGAGCAAACAG
rnacentral:rRNA from 1 species